rnacentral:rRNA from 1 species
AUUGAACGCUGGCGGCAUGCUUUACACAUGCAAGUCGAGCGGAUGAGUGGAGCUUGCUCCAUGAUUCAGCGGCGGACGGGUGAGUAAUGCCUAGGAAUCUGCCUGGUAGUGGGGGACAACGUUUCGAAAGGAACGCUAAUACCGCAUACGUCCUACGGGAGAAAGCAGGGGACCUUCGGGCCUUGCGCUAUCAGAUGAGCCUAAGUCGGAUUAGCUAGUUGGUGGGGCAAAGGCCUACCAAGGCGACGAUCUGUAGCGGGUCUGAGAGGAUGAUCCGCCACCCUGGGACUGAGCAACGGCCCAGACUCCUACGGGAGGCAGCAGUGGGGAAUAUUGGAGAACGGGCGGAAGCCUGAUCCAGCCAUGCCGCGUGUGUGAAGAAGGCCUUUUGGUUGUAAAGCACUUUAAGCGAGGAGGAGGCUACCUGGAUUAAUACUCUAGGAUAGUGGACGUUACUCGCAGAAUAAGCACCGGCUAACUCUGUGCCAGCAGCCGCCGUAACAC